AAACGGCCGCGGUACCCUAACCGUGCAAAGGUAGCAUAAUCAUUUGCCUUUUAAUUGGAGGCUGGUAUGAAUGGUUUGACGAGAGCUAUGCUGUCUCUUUCGAAAUAUUUAAAAAUUAACCUUUAGGUGAAGAGGCCUGAAUUUAUUUAAGGGACAAGAAGACCCUGUUGAGCUUUAGUGAUUUUAUAAAUUUACAGGUAAUCUAGUUAAUGAUUAUAGUUCGGUAUAUUAAUAUAUAACAUAGGUUUAUAGGUAAUCUUUAGUUGGGGCGACUGAGGAACACAUAAAGCUUCCUUGAAUUUAAGAGCGUGUUAAGCAAUUUAGUUUACUGAUGCAUUUAUGUUAAUUUUGAUCCAAUUUAUUUUGAUUAAGAGAAAAAGUUACCACAGGGAUAACAGCGUAAUCUUUCUGGAGAGAUCUAAUCGAAAGAAGGGUUUGCGACCUCG
rnacentral:rRNA from 1 species